UACGUAGGGCGCAAGCGUUGUCCGGAAUUAUUGGGCGUAAAGAGCUCGUAGGCGGUUUGUCGCGUCUGCCGUGAAAAUCCGGGGCUCAACCCCGGACUUGCAGUGGGUACGGGCAGACUAGAGUGUGGUAGGGGAGACUGGAAUUCCUGGUGUAGCGGUGAAAUGCGCAGAUAUCAGGAGGAACACCGAUGGCGAAGGCAGGUCUCUGGGCCACUACUGACGCUGAGACGCGAAAGCGUGGGGAGCAAACAGG
rnacentral:rRNA from 1 species